AUUGAACGCUGGCGGCAGGCCUAACACAUGCAAGUCGAAUGGUAACAGGAAACAGCUUGCUGUUUCGCUGACGAGUGGCGGACGGGUGAGUAAUGUCUGGGAAACUGCCUGAUGGAGGGGGAUAACUACUGGAAACGGUAGCUAAUACCGCAUAACGUCGCAAGACCAAAGAGGGGGACCUUCGGGCCUCUUGCCAUCAGAUGUGCCCAGAUGGGAUUAGCUAGUAGGUGGGGUAACGGCUCACCUAGGCGACGAUCCCUAGCUGGUCUGAGAGGAUGACCAGCCACACUGGAACUGAGACACGGUCCAGACUCCUACGGGAGGCAGCAGUGGGGAAUAUUGCACAAUGGGCGCAAGCCUGAUGCAGCCAUGCCGCGUGUAUGAAGAAGGCCUUCGGGUUGUAAAGUACUUUCAGCGGGGAGGAAGGGAGUAAAGUUAAUACCUUGGCUCAUUGACGUUACCUGCAGAAGAAGCACCGGCUAACUCCGUG
rnacentral:rRNA from 1 species